AACGAACGCUGGCGGCGUGCCUAACACAUGCAAGUCGAGCGGGAAAGUUCCCUUCGGGGAGCGAGUACAGCGGCGAACGGGUGAGUAACACGUAGGUAACCUACCCUUGAGACUGGGAUAACCUGCCGAAAGGCGGGCUAAUACUGGAUAAGACCGUGAGGGCUGCGGCCCUUGGGGUAAAAGGUGGCCUCUGCUUGCAAGCUACCACUUGAGGAUGGGCCUGCGCGCCAUUAGCUAGNGGUGAGGUAACGGCUCACCAAGGCUGGGAUGGCUAGCUGGUCUGAGAGGAUGGCCAGCCACACUGGGACUGAGACACGGCCCAGACUCCUACGGGAGGCAGCAGUGGGGAAUAUUGCGCAAUGGGCGAAAGCCUGACGCAGCGACGCCGCGUGGGUGAUGAAGGCCUCGGUCGUAAG
rnacentral:rRNA from 1 species